AAAUAAACAAGAUCCAGAAAAUUUUUAUUUUAUUUUAUUUUUAUUUUAUUUAAAUAAACAAACCCAACAGCCUAGGCCAUCAACAGGGUUAAUAAUACAGUAGUUAGUAAACAAAAAAUAAUUUUUGAUGUAUGACAAGAUGACUUAUAGCUAGCACAGUGAUUUCACAUACAAAUUCCAAAAUACUGAGUGAAUGGACUAGCGAUGAAUUAGCUAUACAAUUAGAUAUACAAUUGCACAUCUUCAACGCCACUUAGUUGCUAGUUUGCCAAGUAAUACUGUCACAUAUCCAUGAGGACAAUUAAACGGAUCAAGUGAGGCUUCUAAUUGACAAAAACGAUUCACUGUACUAGAGAUGCGAUAGAUCGGCGCUGCCUGAAAUAAGUUAGAUUUAGCAACAGGUAUAUAAGCGUCAAUAAUUGGGGCUUUUACCUUAGAUUGGAAUUUGAUUUCUCAUACCUAAAACUGGUAUCUUAAAUUUAAACAGUGAUAGCAGUUGAGGACAAUCCACCAAGUUAUUGAAUAGUUUAGUUGCAAAGGAGAAUUCUGCACAUAUUCGUCUUUCAUCAAGAGUAAGAUAUUCGCAUUCAUUGCAGAGCGUCAGAUCUGCAAUUCCUCGAGCCGGAUAAUGUCCAGUUUUCUUCCAAAUUAAAAAUUUUUAAAAUCUUCUUUGAACUCUCUCAAUCUUAGUGGACUGUCCUGAAUGAGUGGGAGACCAUACCAGCGAAGCAUACUCGAGUUUCGGUCUAACAAAGAGAAGUUAAGCUACAAGAGCACUAGCUGUUGAACUCUCGUACUUCCACGACGGUGGGAGUGACGCUUUGGAUUUAUAGUAUCGCGCCAGGCGAUGGAUCC